rnacentral:misc_RNA from 1 species
CCAUAUUAUAGUAAUAGAAAUUUUCUAUGCAUAGGAAUUCAAGACACUAUUACUAUAAGUAUAGUGUCUCUAGAAAUAUAGAAAAGAAUAGAAUCCAUAAUUACCAAUAAAUAUUGGAUAUUAUAGAACAUAACGAUUUCUAUAGCGAUAUAAAAUUUUUGAUUUCUUUAUCACAAUUCUAAAUUCGAAUAGAAUAAUAUUUGAUAGUCAAUCUUAAAUAUUUUUAGAUAGUCAAACUUUUUUUAUUUUGAAUUCACAUGGUAUUUGAAAUUCUUUUUGUUACACUUCUCUAUUUUCUAUCCUACAAUAUUUCUCUAUAUUUCUUCCUAAAUUUGGUUGAUUGAUUAUAACUAAUCAACAAUUCCUCGGCUUUCAUUCGUAAAAAGGGAAGUUAAGAAAAAAAAGAAUCGACCCUUUAAGUAUCCCGAUUUCAUGGGAAAAGUGGCAUGAAGAGAAAGAUAUAUAAAGGAUAUAUAUCAAUCUAUAUUGAAUUGCCGAUACAGAAAUGAUAAAAUUCAAUUUGAUUCACUCAAAUACGGGUUUCCUAUAGGUAAGAAAAAAUACUUUUUCAAGAUAGUAAUCGAUAUCUAAUAAAUUCAAAGGUUCCAGUAUAAAUGAAAGAAAAAGGGAAUAAUAUUCUAAUAAAAUCUUAAUCUCAAAACAAAAGAC